GAUGAACGCUGGCGGCGUGCCUAAUACAUGCAAGUCGAGCGAACAGACGAGGAGCUUGCUCCUCUGACGUUAGCGGCGGACGGGUGAGUAACACAUGGAUAACCUACCUAUAAGACUGGGAUAACUUCGGGAAACCGGAGCUAAUACCGGAUAAUAUAUUGAACCGCAUGGUUCAAUAGUGAAAGACGGUUUUGCUGUCACUUAUAGAUGGAUCCGCGCCGCAUUAACUAGUUGGUAAGGUAACGGCUUACCAAGGCGACGAUGCGUAGCCGACCUGAGAGGGUGAUCGGCCACACUGGAACUGAGACACGGUCCAGACUCCUACGGGAGACAGCAGUAGGGAAUCUUCCGCAAUGGGCGAAAGCCUGACGGAGCAACGCCGCGUGAGUGAUGAAGGUCUUCGGAUCGUAAAACUCUGUUAUUAGGGAAGAACAAAUGUGUAAGUAACUAUGCACGUCUUGACGGUACCUAAUCAGAAAGCCACGGCUAACUACGUG
rnacentral:rRNA from 1 species